AAGUCCAGCCCACAGAAUAGAAAGAAUAAACUUUACCAGAUCCAAACUGUAAAACGGCUGCACAACGAGUGGAUAGAGAAUACAUAUCGAUGGGUCACUGGAUUUCUGAAAAUAUUUGAAGAAGGUUUCAUAAGAAGGGGACUGCAAUCAGAGGGGGUAUUCAAGAGAGGUGAAUCAGAAAAUUCCCAGAAACAAACUGGAGAAUGGUGAGUAUGACGACGCAGACGAUCAAUUCUAUGAAGAAUAUUUUGACCAUGACUUGGGCAGGGAUGAGUAUAAAGAUGAACGACACUAUGCAAGGGUAAAGAUGUUGAAGAAGAGGAAGAGAAAACUGUUAAGACGGAUGCAAAAGACAACAAAAUCAUUUCACUCAUGACAUGGAAAGGAAGUGAAAAAAGCAUUGUGCAUGAUAACGAUGAUGCAGUAAGUCGAGAAAAUCACAAGGUCUUGAAGAACAAAAUAGAAGGUCAACCUCUAUUCAUAUGUCACGGUUAGAUCAAGUGGGGAUGAACUAGACGCCAUGGCUGAGUCAUUGCCCAGGGUUAACUAGAAGGGUGGUCGGGUCAGUUACAUGAUCAAGCCAAGGUUCAUGAGCUUCAAGCCAUGUUUGCAGGGGAAGCAACAUAUAUAACCCACUACUCUACAAUUCUUGGUGCUUAGUUUAGUUGUUUCAAGGAAGCCAAUAGGCUUCUCAAGCAUUAAAAAGUGAUCCUUGAGUGUUUGUUUUAAGAUAUGUAUUUUUGGUCAAUGUGUUUAGAGAAGCUUAAUCAGUUUUGUAAGAUUUUUUUUGUUAAGAAAGAAUAAACUUCUAUUAUAUGUCACGAUUUUUUCUGGAGUAGGAAGCAUAUAAGAGAAGUGUAGAACAGUUGGUGAAGCAAUAGAAUGGGUUUAGGUCUACAAGAGGAGGAGAUUCGCAUAUGGGCUGCUCGGGUUGUAAAAUUUCCAGUGGAGGAGGAAUGUGAGGUUUUGGAUACAUGAGCAACACAGAGGAAUUGGUUAUAGCUUGGAGACUUGACAUAUAUAUAUAUAUAUAUACAUAUAUAUAUAUAUAUCUACAUUUAUAGACAUGUGAAUAUUGUGGAGUGACUUUUCUACAUAAAUUUAUUAGAUUCCUAUAAUUUUCACAUUGAGCUUCUGUGCUUUUUGUUUAGUCUUUGUCCCAAUUAGUAAUUUGUUAUCAGUCCUUUUUUUCUUUGCUGUAAAGUGACAAAGACAAUAUGGAACCAAAACAAGAAAGAAAGAGAUUCGUGUCCCU